GGGAGGGUCUAGUGCGGAACAUGGCGGAGCGCGGGAGGAAGCGGCCCUGCGGCCCGGGGGAGCAUGGCCGAGUGGAGUGGCGCAAAUGGAAGCAGCAGAAGAAAGAAGAAAAGAAGAAGUGGAAGGCUCUGAAGCUGACCAAGAAACUGGCUCGACAGCAGGCCCAGGAGGCGGCGGCAAAGCAGCAGGCGGAGGAGGCAGCCUCACAGGAGGAGGACAGGGGGCGGCUCUACACCCUCAGUGUGGCCCUGCCGGGCUCCAUCCUGGACAACGCCCAGUCGCCAGAGCUCCGCACCUAUCUAGCCGGCCAGAUCGCCAGAGCCUGUGCCAUAUUCUGCGUGGAUGAGAUCGUGGUGUUCGAUGACGAGGGCCAGGAUGCCAAGACUGUAGAGGGAGAGUUCAAGGGAGUGGGCAAGAAGGGGCAGGCGUGUGUGCAGCUGGCCCGCAUCCUACAGUACCUGGAGUGUCCACAGUACCUGAGAAAGGCCUUCUUCCCCAAGCAUCAAGACCUGCAGUUUGCAGGACUCCUGAACCCCUUGGACAGUCCCCACCACAUGCGGCAGGAUGAGGAGGCUGAGUUCCGCGAGGGCGUCGUGGUGGACCGGCCCACCCGGCCAGGUCACGGCUCCUUUGUCAACUGUGGCAUGAAGAAGGAGGUGAAGAUCGACAGGAACCUGGAGCCUGGACUUCGGGUCACUGUGCGGCUGAACCAGCAACAGCUCCCUGAGUGCAAGACCUACCGUGGGAAGGUGGUGUCGUCUCAGGACCCUCGCACCAAAGCUGGCCUCUACUGGGGCUACACCGUCCGCCUGGCCUCCUGCCUAAGCGCAGUGUUUGCCGAGGCCCCCUUCCCAGAUGGCUACGACCUGACCAUUGGGACAUCAGAGCGCGGCUCUGACGUGGCCUCCGCGGAGCUGCCCAGCUUCAGGCACGCACUCGUGGUGUUCGGGGGCCUGCAGGGGCUGGAAGCCGCAGUGGCUACCGACCCCAGCCUGGAGGUGGCCGAGCCAAGUGUCCUCUUUGACCUGUACGUCAACACGUGCCCCAGCCAGGGCAGCCGCACCAUCCGCACCGAGGAAGCCAUCCUCAUCUCGCUGGCCACCCUGCAGCCUGGGCUCACCCGGGCCGGUACCCAGCCCACGUGAAGGUUCUGUUGUCUCCAAGGCAGUGACAAAGCAGCAGCAAAGCCAGAGGCUCUGUCUCACUUGCUGCCUGCAGUGAUGGCCUUGAGGCUGCCUGCCCGCGCCAGGAUGUUGGGCACGAAGAGGAGCCCUGAGGCCCGCUCGAUGCUCUCAAUGGGCACCAGGAAGCGCUCCAGUGGGAUGGCCUCGUCCA